rnacentral:sRNA from 1 species
CGACCUGUUGCGGGCAGAUAAAGUGAAUAUGCGCAUCAAUGCCGCCUGCGGUCAGGAUAGAACCUUCACCGGCGAUCACUUCAGUACCCGGGCCAAUAAUAAUAUCGAUAUUGUCCUGUACAUCCGGGUUACCGGCUUUACCGAUGGCAAAAAUACGGCCACCUUUAAUACCGACGUCGGCUUUAACUACGCCCCAGUGAUCCAGCACCACGGCAUUGGUAAUGACCAGAUCAACGGUUUCAGCGCUGGUGCGCUGGCUUUGUCCCUGACCAUCACG